rnacentral:rRNA from 1 species
GUCUUUGACGCACUUGCUGCCGUCCUCGGGACGUUAAGGYGCUCUGGCCGAGGAUAAACCGCCGCCUCCCAGUGUUACCUCCCCGGAGGCACACGUUAAAGAACGCUCCGCGUUGUGAGUCUGAACCGUUGUAAAAACACUACAACCGGUAGCAUUGGAUCCCUUGGCACGUCAUUCGAUGAAGACCGUUGCAAAUUGCGAUAAAGUGAUGUGAUGCGCAAGUCCACCACUUAUACGUGAAUCAUCGAGUUGUUGAACGCACUGCACCGCGCCCUAAACCGGCUGCGGUAUGCCCCUUUGAGCGUCAUUGUUGUCCUUYGUGAGCCUCGUUUCCGAACGGGCCCGAGUUCGGAGUCCUCGGUCCUCGGAUCGUGUUCUCUCAGAAUCAGCGCGCCGUUCGCUCUGGCGGGUUCUCCAAUGCUUGAGCGCGGAGACCUUCCUGCGGGUGUGGCGUCCGACYGCGACCUGAGCGCGCGUCACCAAGUCCCUCUUGGGCACUACAAUUCAUGACCUCAUUGGGGUAGGACAACCCGCUAGACUUAAGCAUAUUAAUCAGCGGAGGAAAAGAAACUAACAAGGAUUCCCUCAGUAACUGCGA